rnacentral:rRNA from 1 species
UCUGUAGGUGACCUGC